rnacentral:rRNA from 1 species
UACGGGGGGAGCAAGCGUUGUUCGGAUUUACUGGGCGUAAAGGGCGCGUAGGCGGCCUCCGCAAGUCAGUUGUGAAAUCUCCGAGCUUAACUCGGAAAGGUCAACUGAUACUGCGGGGCUAGAGUGCGGAAGGGGCAACUGGAAUUCUUGGUGUAGCGGUGAAAUGCGUAGAUAUCAAGAGGAACACCUGCGGCGAAGGCGGGUUGCUGGGCCGACACUGACGCUGAGGCGCGAAAGCUAGGGGAGCGGACGGG